UUGACAGCCCUGGAAACUGAAAUCCUUUAUCAACAGAAAAGGUACAGCACAGGCAAUGGCAAUGCAAGCUUCCCCACAGUGUCUUUCCAACAUGACUCAGUAACAACUUGGACUUCCACCUCUGGCAAAUGAGAAAUUAGUUUGGUCUCCAUGCUCAUUCAAUCCUUUGCCUCU
ensembl:misc_RNA